CCUACGGGAGGCUGCAGUGGGGAAUAUUGGACAAUGGGGGCAACCCUGAUCCAGCCAUGCCGCGUGUGUGAAGAAGGCCCUCGGGUUGUAAAGAACUUUCAGUGAGGAAGAACGCCUGGUGGUUAAUACCCAUCAGGAAAGACAUCACUCACAGAAGAAGCACCGGCUAACUCCGUGCCAGCAGCCGCGGUAAUACGGAGGGUGCGAGCGUUAAUCGGAAUUACUGGGCGUAAAGCGCGCGUAGGUGGCUUGAUAAGCCGGUUGGGAAAGCCCCGGGCUCAACCUGGGAACGGCAUCCGGACCGUUCAAGCUCGGUGGCAGGGAGGGAAGUAAUAUUCCCCGUUGAGGGGGUAAAUGGCGUGAGAUCCGGCGGGAUUCCCGUGGCCGAGGCCGCCCUUUGGACCUACAAUGAACCUGAGGUUCGGAAUCGUGGGUAAGCAACCGGGUUAGAUACCCGAGUAGUC
rnacentral:rRNA from 1 species